UGCGAGGACUACCAACAGGCGGCGUACCUGCUACGUGUUGGUGAUGAGCAAGCUAGCCAAGGGGCAGCAUAGUGAAUCGACGAAGAAGCUGGAAUCCUAAUAGGAGGAAUAUUUUCAACUGGUUUGACGCAUGUUGGAGGAGGCUUGAAGUGGCGGUCGUAGCACAGUCAGUUGGGAGGACCCAACGCCAGAGUCAAAAUUGUUGACAUUUUCUUUGUUAGAAACGGCUGUAUCUGGUGUUCUUAAUGAAGCUGGACCAUGAAGUGGAGUUAGAUCACUCAUUAUCACAUCAACAGGGGUGAUGACACCGGAGGUAGGGCAGCACGCCGGCUGGAGGCUGUCCACCGGGUGGAGGACGUCGCGGACGCCUGGGGCGAGGGCGGCGUGGCGAAGAUGCCGGGGUGAGGAGAGGCAGCAAGUUGGGUGGAGCAUGUCCAGCGGGUCGAGGACGUCGCGGAGACCAGGGGCGAGGAUGGCGGGGCGGCUGGCCGAGCGAGGCGGGGCUGAUGGCCGAGGCGAGGUUCGUGGACUGAUGCUGGCGUUGAUCGUGGAGUUUUGUGGUAUGGUGGCUGCGUUGAUUGUGGAGGUAUGUUAAAUUCCCUGGAAGGGUCAUCGUUGGGCUCUGUAGCAUCCUGGACGGGAGAGUCUGCCGGCAGAACAUUUCUUUUGAACCGUAGAUCUGAUUGUAGUUUGCUGGAUGUAACGUGGACAGUUGGAUGUAACUAAGUGGGUUUGAUCGGACGUGGGGGGUUAUCCCAUGUGCACUUUCCGGUGUGGACGUAGGGAAAGUAAUGUUUGGUGUUUUAAUAGUAAGUAUAGAUAUAGAUAUGAAGCAGAUCUUGCUUCCAUUA